rnacentral:rRNA from 1 species
UACAGAGGUCUCAAGCGUUGUUCGGAUUCAUUGGGCGUAAAGGGUGCGUAGGCGGCGCGGUAAGUCGGGUGUGAAAUUUCGAGGCUUAACUUCGAAACUGCAUUCGAUACUGCCGUGCUAGAGGACUGGAGAGGAGACUGGAAUUUACGGUGUAGCGGUGAAAUGCGUAGAUAUCGUAAGGAAGACCAGUGGCGAAGGCGGGUCUCUGGGCCGAUAUUGACGCUGAUGUGCGAAAGCGUGGGGAGCAAACAGG